rnacentral:rRNA from 1 species
GACGAACGCUGGCGGCGUGCUUAACACAUGCAAGUCGAGCGAGAAAGCGGCUUCGGCCGUGAGUACAGCGGCGAACGGGUGAGUAACACGUGGGCAACCUGCCCCGGAGACUGGGAUAACAGCCCGAAAGGGCUGCUAAUACCGGGUGAUGCGCGAUCUGCCAAGUAGGUCGCGCCAAAUGGUAGCUUCGGCUUCUGCUCUGGGAUGGGCCCGCGCCGGAUUAGCUUGUUGGUGAGGUAACGGCUCACCAAGGCGACGAUCCGUAGCUGGUCUGAGAGGACGAUCAGCCACACUGGGACUGAGACACGGCCCAGACACCUACGGGAGGCUG